rnacentral:misc_RNA from 1 species
UCCGGUUUGUCACCGGCAGUCUCGCUAGAGUGCCCAACUAAAUGAUGGCAACUAACAAUAAGGGUUGCGCUCGUUGCGGGACUUAACCCAACAUCUCACGACACGAGCUGACGACAACCAUGCACCACCUGUCACUUUGCCCCCGAAGGGGAAGCUCUAUCUCUAGAGUGGUCAAAGGAUGUCAAGACCUGGUAAGGUUCUUCGCGUUGCUUCGAAUUAAACCACAUGCUCCACCGCUUGUGCGGGCCCCCGUCAAUUCCUUUGAGUUUCAACCUUGCGGUCGUACUCCCCAGGCGGAGUGCUUAAUGCGUUUGCUGCAGCACUGAAGGGCGGAAACCCUCCAACACUUAGCACUCAUCGUUUACGGCGUGGACUAC